rnacentral:rRNA from 1 species
ACGCUGGCGGCGUGCUUAACACAUGCAAGUCGAACGAUGAAGCCCAGCUUGCUGGGUGGAUUAGUGGCGAACGGGUGAGUAAUACGUGAGUAACCUGCCUUUAACUCUGGGAUAAGCCUUGGAAACGGGGUCUAAUACCGGAUACGACCAACCCUCGCAUGGGGUGUUGGUGGAAAGGGAUUUUGUACUGGUUUUAGAUGGGCUCACGGCCUAUCAGCUUGGUGGUGAGGUAACGGCUCACCAAGGCGACGACGGGUAGCCGGCCUGAGAGGGUGACCGGCCACACUGGGACUGAGACACGGCCCAGACUCCUACGGGAGGCAGCAGUGGGGAAUAUUGCACAAUGGGCGCAAGCCUGAUGCAGCGACGCCGCGUGAGGGAUGACGGCCUUCGGGUUGUAAACCUCUUUCAGCAGGGGAGAAGCGAAAGUGACGGUACCUGCAGAAGAAGCGCCGGCUAACUACGUGCCAGCAGCCGCGGUAAUACGUAGGGCGCGAGCGUUGUCCGGAAUUAUUGGGCGUAAAGAGCUUGUAGGCGGUUUGUCGCGUCUGCUGUGAAGCCCGGGGCUUAACCCCGGGUUUGCAGUGGGUACGGGCAGACUAGAGUGCAGUAGGGGAGACUGGAAUUCCUGGUGUAGCGGUGAAAUGCGCAGAUAUCAGGAGGAACACCAAUGGCGAAGGCAGGUCUCUGGGCUGUAACUGACGCUGAGAAGCGAAAGCAUGGGGAGCGAACAGGAUUAGAUACCCUGGUAGUCCAUGCCGUAAACGUUGGGCACUAGGUGUGGGGAACAUUCCACGUUUUCCGCGCCGUAGCUAACGCAUUAAGUGCCCCGCCUGGGGAGUACGGCCGCAAGGCUAAAACUCAAAGAAAUUGACGGGGGCCCGCACAAGCGGCGGAGCAUGCGGAUUAAUUCGAUGCAACGCGAAGAACCUUACCAAGGCUUGACAUAUACUGGACCGCCUCAGAGAUGGGGUUUCCCUUUUAGGGCUGGUAUACAGGUGGUGCAUGGUUGUCGUCAGCUCGUGUCGUGAGAUGUUGGGUUAAGUCCCGCAACGAGCGCAACCCUCGUUCUAUGUUGCCAGCACGUAAUGGUGGGGACUCAUAGGAGACUGCCGGGGUUAACUCGGAGGAAGGUGGGGAUGACGUCAAAUCAUCAUGCCCCUUAUGUCUUGGGCUUCACGCAUGCUACAAUGGCCGGUACAAAGGGUUGCGAUACUGUGAGGUUGAGCUAAUCCCAAAAAGCCGGUCUCAGUUCGGAUUGGGGUCUGCAACUCGACCCCAUGAAGUCGGAGUCGCUAGUAAUCGCAGAUCAGCAACGCUGCGGUGAAUACGUUCCCGGGCCU